UACGGAGGGUGCAAACGUUGCUCGGAAUUACUGGGCGUAAAGCGCGUGUAGGCGGGUCGGAAAGUCGGGCGUGAAAUCCCCAGGCUCAACCUGGGAACUGCACUCGAAACUUCCGGUCUAGAGUGGUGGAGAGGGAAGUGGAAUUCCUGGUGUAGAGGUGAAAUUCGUAGAUAUCGGGAGGAACACCAGUGGCGAAGGCGGCGACCUGGACAGAUAUUGACGCUGAGGUGCGAAAGCGUGGGGAGCAAACAGG
rnacentral:rRNA from 1 species